rnacentral:rRNA from 1 species
CCUACGGGAGGCAGCAGUGGGGAAUCUUGGACAAUGGGCGCAAGCCUGAUCCAGCCAUGCCGCGUGAGUGAUGAAGGCCUUAGGGUCGUAAAGCUCUUUCGCCAGAGAUGAUAAUGACAGUAUCUGUAAGAC